CGCAUCUGUGCAUGCAGCAUAUCAAUAAGCGGAGGAAAAGAAACUAACAAGGAUUCCCCUAGUAACGGCGAGUGAAGCGGGAAGAGCUCAAAUUUGAAAUCUUAAAGGGUUUCCCUUUACGAAUUGUAGUUUAAAGAAGUGUUUUCUGUUGAGGUUUUGGUAAAAGUUCUUUGGAAUAGGACAUCAUAGAGGGUGAGAAUCCCGUAUUUGACCUUUACUUUCAACUUUGUGAUACACUUUCAAAGAGUCGGAUUGUUUGGGAAUGCAGUCCAAAAUGGGUGGUAAAUUUCAUCUAAAGCUAAAUAUUGGCGAGAGACCGAUAGCGAACAAGUACCGUGAGGGAAAGAUGAAAAGAACUUUGAAAAGAGAGUUAAACAGUACGUGAAAUUGUCAAAAGGGAAGCGUUUGACACCAGUGUUGUUUUUCUGAAAAUCAAUUAAAGAACUGUUUAUGCUAAGCUGUUUAGACUUUAUCAGCUAUCUGCUUAGUUUUGAGCUUUUCUUUAAUGCACCUUUCAGUUAACAAGUCAACAUCAAUUUCUUUUGCUGUAAAAAAGCUUGAGGAAGGUGGCUUGAGAUUCGUCUUAAGUGUUUAUAGCCUCUUGCCUAUGCAGUCGGAGAGAUUGAGGUCUGCAGCGUAGAUCCUUCGGGGCUAAAUGCAUUUGUGCUAAGUUAUAGCAUUUUAUAGACAACUUGUUGACUAUGAUUUGUCUUGUAGCUUACUCGCUUAUGUUAUUUUACCUACGCUUAGGAUGUUGAGUCAUCACACAUCUCU
rnacentral:rRNA from 1 species